UAUUCGCCAGGGGACUACGAGCGUAAGCUUAAAACCCAAAGGACUUGGCGGUGCCCUACACCUCCUAGAGGAGCCUGUUCUAUAAUCGAUGAUCCACGUUAUACCUCACCGUUUCUUGCCAAACCCGCCUAUAUACCGCCGUCUCCAACUUACCCUAUGAAGGAUUCACAGUAGGUUUAAAGAUCACUCAUCAGAACGUCAGGUCAAGGUGUAGCGAAUGAAACGGGAAGCAAUGGGCUACAUUUUCUAUCUUAGAUCACACGGAUAAUCAAUAUGAAACCUGAUUAUGAAGGAGGAUUUAGCAGUAAAAAGAAACCAACAUGUUCUUUUUAAGUCGGACCUAGGGCGCGUACACACCGCCCGUCACCCUCUUCAACUCAUUUCACUAUAUUUCAUAAUAAAAUUACUAGAGAUAAGAAGAGGCAAGUCGUAACAUGGUAAGUAUACCGGAAGGUGUACUUGGAAC
rnacentral:rRNA from 1 species